CGAGCAGGACAGGAUGGGAGCUUGCUCCCUGAUAGUUAGCGGCGGACGGGUGAGUAACACGUGGGUAACCUGCCUGUAAGACUGGGAUAACUCCGGGAAACCGGGGCUAAUACCGGAUGGUUGUUUGAAUCGCAUGGUUCAAACAUAAAAGGUGGCUUCGGCUACCACUUACAGAUGGACCCGCGGCGCAUUAGCUAGUUGGUGAGGUAACGGCUCACCAAGGCAACGAUGCGUAGCCGACCUGAGAGGGUGAUCGGCCACACUGGGACUGAGACACGGCCCAGACUCCUACGGGAGGCAGCAGUAGGGAAUCUUCCGCAAUGGACGAAAGUCUGACGGAGCAACGCCGCGUGAGUGAUGAAGGUUUUCGGAUCAUAAAGCUCUGUUGUUAGGGAUUAACAAGUACCGUUCGAAUAGGGCG
rnacentral:rRNA from 1 species